rnacentral:rRNA from 1 species
UACGAAGGGGGCUAGCGUUGCUCGGAAUCACUGGGCGUAAAGCGCACGUAGGCGGCUUACUAAGUCAGGGGUGAAAUCCUGGAGCUCAACUCCAGAACUGCCUUUGAUACUGGUGAGCUUGAGUCCGGAAGAGGUGAGUGGAACUGCGAGUGUAGAGGUGAAAUUCGUAGAUAUUCGCAAGAACACCAGUGGCGAAGGCGGCCCACUGGUCCGGUACUGACGCUGAGGUGCGAAAGCGUGGGGAGCAAACAGG